AUCGCCUGAGUCUCCUGUUAAAAUGCAGAUUCUGAUUCAGUAGGUCUAAGGUGCUGCCCAAGAUACUUCAUUUCUAACAAGUUCCCUGGUGAUGCUGCU
rnacentral:pre_miRNA from 1 species